UGGCCGCGGGCGCGGCGGGGACCGGCGCCGCCGGGUGGUGCCUGGCGGGCCGUGAGCGCGGACUGCCGCUGAUCGUGGCGGUCGUGGUCGCC
rnacentral:tRNA from 1 species